rnacentral:rRNA from 1 species
UACAGAGGUCUCAAGCGUUGUUCGGAUUCAUUGGGCGUAAAGGGCGCGUAGGCGGCGGGGCAAGUCGGGUGUGAAAUCUCAGGGCUCAACCCUGAAACUGCACUCGAUACUGCUCUGCUUGAGGACUGGAGAGGAGACUGGAAUUCACGGUGUAGCAGUGAAAUGCGUAGAUAUCGUGAGGAAGACCAGUGGCGAAGGCGGGUCUCUGGACAGUUCCUGACGCUGAGGCGCGAAGGCCAGGGGGAGCAAACGGG